rnacentral:sRNA from 1 species
ACCAAUUUACAAACUCUGUUAUACUUCAGAUAGUUUAUACAUAAGAAAAAUUAUAACUACUUGUACUGUUUAUUGAUAUCACUGUUUUUGAAAUCAGUUGAGGUUUGUUUAUUUGACUGUAUAUUUUAGUUCGUAUAUUUACAUUUUUACUAUAUCAUGUUAUUUGUUGAGAAUUUACAUCUACAAAUAUGUGUCUCCAUUAUAUGUUAUGUCACACAUCUCUACCUGUUUUGUAAGUGUCUUUACCUGGGGUUUCACCUGUUGUUUUACCUGUAGACAGGUGAGGUGCUGUAAUUGUGCAGCUGCUGUUCUGGUCCAUUGAUUUGUGUCACUUGGAAAUUAGUGGGAGUAGAAAAAUAAACGGAUUAAAUUUGAGGGAGCCAAAGGGAUUAAAGAACUUAAUAUAUACU